GUCGAACGGUAACGCGGGGCAACCUGGCGACGAGUGGCGAACGGGUGAGUAACGCAUCGGAACGUGCCCAGUAGUGGGGGAUAGCCCGGCGAAAGCCGGAUUAAUACCGCAUACGACCUAAGGGUGAAAGCGGGGGAUCGCAAGACCUCGCGCUAUUGGAGCGGCCGAUGUCAGAUUAGGUAGUUGGUGGGGUAAAGGCCUACCAAGCCGACGAUCUGUAGCUGGUCUGAGAGGACGACCAGCCACACUGGGACUGAGACACGGCCCAGACUCCUACGGGAGGCAGCAGUGGGGAAUUUUGGACAAUGGGCGCAAGCCUGAUCCAGCCAUGCCGCGUGCGGGAAGAAGGCCUUCGGGUUGUAAACCGCUUUUGUCAGGGAAGAAAAGGCUCGAACUAAUACUUUGGGCUCAUGACGGUACCUGAAGAAUAAGCACCGGCUAACUACGUGCCAGCAGCCGCGGUAAUACGUAGGGUGCAAGCGUUAAUCGGAAUUACUGGGCGUAAAGCGUGCGCAGGCGGUCUUGUAAGACAGAGGUGAAAUCCCCGGGCUCAACCUGGGAACUGCCUUUGUGACUGCAAGGCUUGAGUACGGUAGAGGGGGAUGGAAUUCCGCGUGUAGCAGUGAAAUGCGUAGAUAUGCGGAGGAACACCGAUGGCGAAGGCAAUCCCCUGGGACCUGUACUGACGCUCAUGCACGAAAGCGUGGG
rnacentral:rRNA from 1 species